rnacentral:rRNA from 1 species
AGCUAUAAGCACUGUGAGAAGAGCUUUGCGUCCCAUUAGCUAGUUGGAGAGGUAACAGCUCACCAAAGCGAUGAUGGGUAGCCGGCCUGAGAGGGUGAACGGCCACAAGGGGACUGAGACACGGCCCUUACUCCUACGGGAGGCAGCAGUGGGGAAUAUUGGACAAUGGACCGAGAGUCUGAUCCAGCAAUUCUGUGUGCACGAUGAAGUUUUUCGGAAUGUAAAGUGCUUUCAGUUGGGAAGAAACAAAUGACGGUACCAACAGAAGAAGUAACGGCUAAAUACGUGCCAGCAGCCGCGGUAAUACGUAUGUCACGAGCGUUAUCCGGAUUUAUUGGGCGUAAAGCGCGUCUAGGUGGUUAUGUAAGUCUGAUGUGAAAAUGCAGGGCUCAACUCUGUAUUGCGUUGGAAACUGUAUAACUAGAGUACUGGAGAGGUAAGCGGAACUACAAGUGUAGAGGUGAAAUUCGUAGAUAUUUGUAGGAAUGCCGAUGGGGAAGCCAGCUUACUGGACAGAUACUGACGCUAAAGCGCGAAAGCGUGGGUAGCAAACAGG